CGAACUUUGGUAGUAAAGUUGUCGAGAAGGAGAGACAUUUCUUUGCAAUAGGAGCCGGGGACUCGGAGAUUUUCAGUCGCUUCAAAUUAUUCGGCGAAUAUAUUACGUUAGAGACAAAGUCUACGAUGUGGUCGGAAUACAGAUGUUAUCGAAGAUUUGAUUGAGACUCGAACCUGAAGAAUUCUGGCGUCUUUCUCGGUUGAUGGAUCGGGUGUUCUUAGCUCGGCUUCCAGCCGAGCUACUUGCUUCUGCAGAUGCUUUACUAGCUGUUUUUCAGAAACUACCUGGAUGAGCGACGUACCAUAUUCACAUGAGCGUUGUUGGUCACUUCCUUGGCUCGACUAGCGAAAAAGAGAGUGUUACGAGAUUGCUCGGCGUGACUCGAUGCUGGACUCAAUGUACAUAUGAUAGCUGUACGAGCAUUUCCUCCCAACGAAUGCUGCAGUAUGCGCGUGAGCUUGGAGUCGCGAUACGUUGUAAGAGUCAUCAAGCUGAGGUUGAUAUGGCAGCCUUCUCUAAGCCGGGUGCCCUCGGCGUUUGUCUGCGAGGCCCUUUCGCUUCCGGCUAAAUCUACAAAGUUCUGCAAAACAAGGAGGAAUAAGCACAAGAGUUGUUACUAUUGCAUGCUAGAAGUAGAAGUUAAGGAAAUCAGGAUGCUCGGGAUUUACCAAGCUUGCAACGUACGAUCGUACGCAAUCUGAAUUUUCUCGGAGAGUACUUUCAAUUGUCUGCAUUCAACAACAGAUACAGCUUUCAGGUAAUUUGAUCUCAGAUUAAUAUAUAAUGAAGGAUGAAAAGAGACGACGAACCAGUCUUAUUAUUUGGUGCGAUCUUGAGCUAGUAUCGUUAAGAGCAGUUUCUCCGACUUGUCUUUGAGCUGCAAGAAUAUACAGUAUUGAGUUCAUUUUAAUGGCCUAACAACUGGUUUUCCCGACAAGGUUUAGUUUAGUUGCUUACCAUCGCAAAUUUGGAUCAGUUGUUUCAAAUGUUGGUCAUCCUUCGCGGUUUCUUCUACUAAUUUCUCAACAACAGUUCCUUUCUGCGAAAGAGAACAUCAAACUCAAUAGCUGAAGAAGGCAAGAUCAAAAGAUGAAAGUGAAGGGAGAGCUUGUAACCACCUCUGGAUCAUCGAGGAGCUUCAGAUUACGACCGGAUUCUGAAUUCAGUAGAUCCCUGACAUUCUCGUUGUAGAUUUCAAGGCCGGAUAUUUUUAUCUUGAAGUCUCGUUCCGGUGUCUGAAGUAGAGUAAUGUUUCAAUAGGUUUGUUAGAAUCUAAACAAAACAGACUCCUAAAGUAUUUCAAAUACAAUAUUAUCUACAACUUUCGAGCCUAUGUUCAAUUGCAUUACUUUCUCAUAUAUAACAGCAAGUGAAGCGAAGCUUACAUUGAUUAUAUGCAU